UCGAGAAUCUUCCACAAUGGACGAAAGUCUGAUGGAGCGACGCCGCGUGAUUGAUGAAGUCCUUAGGGAUGUAAAGAUCUUUUAUGAGCCACUAAGUUAUUGAAGAGCUCAUGAAUAAGGAGUUGCUAAACUCGUGCCAGCAGCAGCGGUAAUACGAGUGCUCCAAGCGUUAUCCGGAAUUACUGGGCGUAAAGGGUGUGUAGGCGGUUUUGUUAGUCGGUUGUUAAAGCUCCUCGCUUAACGGGGAAAAUGCAAUCGAAACGGCAAAUCUAGAGGAUGCGAAAGGUGAACAGAACUCAUAGUGUAGGGGUGAAAUCCGUUGAUAUUAUGGGGAAUACCAAAUGCGAAGGCAGUUCACUAGCGCACUCCUGACGCUGAAACACGAAAGCGUGGGUAGCGA
rnacentral:rRNA from 1 species